ACUAUUUUGACAGAAAAAUGUGAUGAUUUUAGAAUUCAUAAAUAUAUAAUUUAUUAUAUAUAUAGUA
rnacentral:tRNA from 1 species